rnacentral:rRNA from 1 species
AGAGGAAAGUGGAAUUCCAAGUGUAGCGGUGAAAUGCAUAGAGAUUUGGAGGAACACCAGUGGCGAAGGCGACUUUCUGGUCUGUAACUGACACUGAGGCGCGAAAGCGUGGGGAGCGAACAGGAUUAGAUACCCUGGUAGUCCACGCCGUAAACGAUGAGUGCUAAGUGUUAGAGGGUUUCCGCCCUUUAGUGCUGCAGCAAACGCAUUAAGCACUCCGCCUGGGGAGUACGACCGCAAGGUUGAAACUCAAAGGAAUUGACGGGGGCCCGCACAAGCGGUGGAGCAUGUGGUUUAAUUCGAAGCAACGCGAAGAACCUUACCAGGUCUUGACAUCCUCUGACAAUCCUAGAGAUAGGACGUUCCCCUUCGGGGGACAGAGUGACAGGUGGUGCAUGGUUGUCGUCAGCUCGUGUCGUGAGAUGUUGGGUUAAGUCCCGCAACGAGCGCAACCCUUGAUCUUAGUUGCCAGCAUUCAGUUGGGCACUCUAAGGUGACUGCCGGUGACAAACCGGAGGAAGGUGGGGAUGACGUCAAAUCAUCAUGCCCCUUAUGACCUGGGCUACACACGUGCUACAAUGGAUGGUACAAAGGGCUGCAAGACCGCGAGGUUUAGCCAAUCCCAUAAAACCAUUCUCAGUUCGGAUUGCAGGCUGCAACUCGCCUGCAUGAAGCCGGAAUCGCUAGUAAUCGCGGAUCAGCAUGCCGCGGUGAAUACGUU